rnacentral:lncRNA from 1 species
GCGGCAGGCAAGGGACAGGAAGCUAGGCUUGGAAAGGGCAAGGCCAAACAGAGUGAGUCACCAGUGAGAAGAAAGGGAGCCAUUUCCUGUGUCUUCCCAGAGGUCCCGGAGGAAUGGAGCUUCUCUUAUGUGCAGACACAGGGGCUUCCACCUUACCUACAUGGACGUAGCACCUGCCUCGUGGGUGAAGUUGGAGAGAAGGACGUUAAACAUAUAUUUGAAAUGGACAAGGGAGUUCUCCAGGGUGCCGGCCACAUUUGGAGAGACCGUUACUGUCUUGCACAAAUGAGCACGUUUUUAAGGAAGAGCUGAUCGUGGACCCCAGGCCUCAUGCUCCCUACUUGUUUUUGUUUUGGUCCUGGGGGUUGAACUUCAAGCUUCCCACCUGCUGCACAUGCAGUCUGUCACACCCACUGCUCCAAUGUCCUGUUUGAACCCAGGUCCUACUUACUUGUCCCCAGGAGAAUAUUUACAGGAACUAAAAGGAUUUUAAGAAGCAAGGUGGCCCAAUUGGGUAGUGGGGUCACUUGACUCAGGCUCUGAUCGAGGCUCAUGCAUCCUGGGCUGGGCCUCAUCACUAGUUUAUUCCUAGCAGCAGGGCAGAGAGCCUUCUGUGACACUUCCCAGGAGGAGCAGGCUGGGCCUAGGUUGCCCUUUGAGAAUCCUGAGGAUGCAGCUCAGUGGUAGAACACUUGCUGAAUAUGUGCAAAGCCCUGAGUUCCUUCCCCAGUAACACAAAACAGGAAAAGAGAGCGAGCUUCUCUGAGAGUCAAGCAUGGUGACACUUGCCUACAAUCCCAGCUACUGGGGGAGGCUGAGGUAGGGGUAUCUCCAGCCUGUGGCCAGCCUAGGGAACAGAGCAAAUUUUUAAAAAUAAAUUUUAAAAUAAUUUUUUUUAUUUUAAAUUCUAAAAUAAAAGAAAAUGAAAGGAAC